rnacentral:lncRNA from 1 species
UAAAAUUGAAUGUUUACUCAGGUUUGUUCUACAAGUCCACCGGCGUGAACCGCCAUAGACCCCACAAGUUUGCCGUUGCGGGUGGGCGUAAACCCUUCUCUCCACUCUCUCUCUAGCAUUACUCUCUCUCUCAUGUAUGUGUGUGUGAAUGAGUACGAGUUGAUCGUUCAUAGAAAUUCGGUGAACGUUGGUUGUGGUGGCUGCGGCUCAGGUGUGGUUGUAAAGGUGUUGUAACGACGGCAAUGGUAAUGUGGUUUGGGGAGAAAGAAAGAGUAGAUGGAGGAAGUUAAGAUUUGACUGAAACAUUUUAUCUUCUUUUUUUUGGGGUAUGCAGAAAUGUAUAAACUGUCUUUCUUCAAAAUAAUAAUUAUUUCUUUUAAUCUUAUCUUCAAACUACAAAGCAUCGAUACUUAGGUGAAGACUUUGUUUUGGUGGAAUAAAUCGUUGUGUUUGGUUGUUAAAAAAUCAAUACGAUAUUUAAU